AUGCCUUGGGCCAAGUCUGGCUGAGGGUCGC
rnacentral:rRNA from 1 species